UACCAAUUCUUAGUGAUUAGAUUCUCCAACUUUCACUCAGAAUAUGGCGGAAAUUAAUAUAAGGAGGAAAUAAAAUGGCUUUAACUAAAGAAGAAAAAGCUAAAAUUGUUAGAGAAUUUGGGCAAAGUGAA
rfam:Clostridium sp. CAG:1193 genomic scaffold, scf191